rnacentral:lncRNA from 1 species
AUAUACAAUUUGUAACAAUUAGCUGAUAAAAGUUUUUUUUUUUUUUGAGAGAUAGGAAGCACACUACCCGCUUCGUUUAUUUUAUUUAAAAAUAAACUUAGCUGAAAAUGUGAAUCAACUAGGAUUCGAACUUGGGACCUCGGGUACCAACCAGCAAACCUUUUGCCGCUUGCUCUAGAGACGGUCCGUGAUAAAAGUUAGUAACUAGGGCAUGGUUUCCUUUGAUUACUAGGUCAAAAACGCGUGAGAGAGGUUAAUUAAGUCAUCUGAAUUAGAUUAGGAAUGUGAAUGGAUAUGAAUUUCUAAAAUUUCAUCCGACAUCGAACCUGAUCCGGAUGGAUUUAUUGGAUGCUAAAUAGAUAUAAUUAUAAAUAUGGAUAUAAAUAAAUAAAAAUUUGACUUCUUUGGAUUCAAGUAUGAAUUUUGUCUGUAUCUAAUCCAAACUCAAAUUCGAAUCUGAACACGAAUUGAUUUUAUAUUAUAUAAUAUAUGUAAUGUUUGAUAUUAUAUUAGAAUUUGUAUUCUAAAAAUUUAGAUUUAAUAUAAAUAUAAUAUUGAAUUACAGUAAAUAGAGAUAAUUGUUUUGAUUUCAGUUUGGGUUUCGGGUACUUAGUCAGGUUCAGAUUUGAAUGUGGAUUUUUAAAAUCCAUCGGAUUUCGGUUCGGGUUCGAGUUUCGAAUUUUUGGUCAGGUUCCAUUUGUAUGUGAAUUUUUGAAAUCAGUCAAAUUUUGAUUUGGAUUUCGGAUUUGAUAGACGUGUUCGGAUUGAAUUUU